rnacentral:lncRNA from 1 species
ACAUGUAGGCCUUGGAAUGACUCAUAAUUUUAAGCAAUAGCUGAAUUAUAUGCCAAUUUAUAAGCUAAUUCAUAAUAUUUUAUAGCCUGCUCAAGCAAUUUCAAGAUGGUCUCCUGCACAUACAUCUAGAUAUAAACUGUAUUGACCUCAAGUUAUUGUUUGUGUAAAUAGUGAAGAGAGGCUUGAGGCUCUGUUUGUUUGCUUACUGGCAGUUUUGAAGAUUGAAUUCAGAGCCUCAUGCAUGCUAGGCAUCAAUCUUAACCCUUUUCUGCUCAGUACAAUCUCUGGCAGACAGUUCUCCAUUCUCUUCAUCUCCAUGACUGACAAAGUGUCCUUACUUAUUCCACACACCCAGAAAGGCAAG